rnacentral:rRNA from 2 species
AGAGUUUGAUCCUGGCUCAGGACGAACGCUGGCGGCGUGCCUAAUACAUGCAAGUCGUGCGGACCUUUUAAAAGCUUGCUUUUAAAAGGUUAGCGGCGGACGGGUGAGUAACACGUGGGCAACCUGCCUGUAAGAUCGGGAUAACGCCGGGAAACCGGGGCUAAUACCGGAUAGUUUUUUCCUCCGCAUGGAGGAAAAAGGAAAGACGGCUUUUGCUGUCACUUACAGAUGGGCCCGCGGCGCAUUAGCUAGUUGGUGGGGUAACGGCUCACCAAGGCAACGAUGCGUAGCCGACCUGAGAGGGUGAUCGGCCACAUUGGGACUGAGACACGGCCCAAACUCCUACGGGAGGCAGCAGUAGGGAAUCUUCCGCAAUGGACGAAAGUCUGACGGAGCAACGCCGCGUGAGUGAAGAAGGCCUUCGGGUCGUAAAACUCUGUUGCCGGGGAAGAACAAGUGCCGUU